rnacentral:rRNA from 1 species
GACGAACGCUGGCGGCGUGCCUAAUACAUGCAAGUAGAACGCUGAAGGAGGAGCUUGCUCUUCUGGAUGAGUUGCGAACGGGUGAGUAACGCGUAGGUAACCUGCCUGGUAGCGGGGGAUAACUAUUGGAAACGAUAGCUAAUACCGCAUAACAGUAGAUGUUGCAUGACAUUUGCUUAAAAGGUGCAAUUGCAUCACUACCAGAUGGACCUGCGUUGUAUUAGCUAGUUGGUGGGGUAACGGCUCACCAAGGCGACGAUACAUAGCCGACCUGAGAGGGUGGUCGGCCGCACUGGGACUGAGACACGGCCCAGACUCCUACGGGAGGCAGCAGUAGGGAAUCUUCGGCAAUGGGCGGAAGUCUGACCGAGCAACGCCGCGUGAGUGAAGAAGGUUUUCGGAUCGUAAAGCUCUGUUGUAAGAGAAGAACGAGUGUGAGAGUGGUAAGUUCACACUGUGACGGUAUCUUACCAGAAAGGGACGGCUAACUACGUGC